GGUGUUUAGGGACAUGGUUUAGUGGGUGACAUUGGUGGUAGGGUGAUGGUUGGACCAGAUGAUCUUGAAGGUGUUUUCCAACCUUAACUGAUUCUGUGAUUCUACUAGCAAGGUCAUGCAGCAGAUACAAAGGUCCUUCCUAAAAGACACUGUGAUACAGGUAGGCAUUGAACUAAAGACUGUUUCCGCUGUUCUUUUUUGGAGAACUCAAGUAACUCUUCAACUUUAAAGUCAUUCUUCACACUCUUGUGCAUUUAUAUUCCACCCUCUUUGCAAUCUGCCUGCAUUUCUGGGAAAGUUAUUUUCUUUACUGUUCACAUUCAGUGUCCAAUCUUUAAAUAGGUUUUAAUCACAAAAGUUGCCUGAGUAAGAGUCUAAUUUAUAGGUUUCUAUUCUCUUCACAUCUCUGCCUACCUGAUGAAGAAAUGCUUUAUUAUCCAGUUAGUUUUGUUCUGAGAUAUCUAUUCUAUGCUUUAAUCAAAUAAUUGAAUCAUCUCUCAGUCCACUGUAUGAUAAAUUAAACAAACCAAACUCUUUACACCAUUUUCUUGAAUCACUUUCAGCUUUCUCUGCAGUAUUUCCAAUUUUUUCAAUAUUGUCAGAAAAAGAAAGAUGACCUGCACAUUGAAAUCUGAUAUUGGUCUUUGCAGAGCUGUGAGUCCCUGUGUUCUCCCAUCCUGCAUGCUGCUCACUCCUUUCUUGUUAGUACACUGUGGGACGGCAAAACUCCUCUUUGCCGCAAAGUUCUGCUGGAAGUUUGGGCUGAUCCAGUUAAAUGAACUUGCACGAUUUGCUCUGAGGAAGGUGACUUUGCAAUUUGUUUGUACUAAAAUGCAUUAAUUUCACAAACCCAACUAUUCAGUGUAGGCUGCCUCCACACUAUCUGUCACUACACGGGCCUUUCUGUGCACUUCUUUUAUUUACAAUUUUAUAUUUUCCUCCAGAUCAACCAUAGUAUUUGUAUGACAGUUAUAGAAGUUAAUCAACUAUAAUAAGUUGUAUGACAAAAUGCCUGUUGUUGCUAAACCUAAUAAAGCAAAGCCUUCAUCUUUUGGCUUCUUAAUGACAAACCAGUAGGCAGUCUACAGCGAUGUACACAGCUUCUGAUAAUCCAAGAUCUCUGCGUGCAUCUUCAUGCAUACAGAGUGGGCAGGAAAAGAACCACUGAUUUAGUGGUUCUUUUUAAAGAACCACUAAAUUGGUGGAUUUAGAACCACCAAUUUAGUACGCUUGUUGUUCCAGCUGUGCCCGUGGAUAACUGCUUACUGUGAAUGCUGUGGUAAGAUUGCCCUGUUAACAACACAGGCCUUGCCUUUUGUCAAAUGCCAAAAGGGAUUUGGCGCUGAAGCAACGUUUCUUUAGCUUCCUCUAGAUGUUAGCUACUUUGUGGCCUACGUGCCUUCCUGGGACAUCUCUCCAGCCAAGAACCAGUGAACUACCAGCUGGUGGCAGCAGCAGCUUCUCCAAGACCAAGGUGUGAAGACCUGAUCACAGUUCUUGGGAACAAUGUAUGACAGUCUAGAGUGUGAAUGUCUCCAGUUGUGUCAGACCCGCAUGAGGGGGAGUGAAUGCAUGUCUCAGCCCAACAUGGAGUAUAAAAAACAAACAACUAGCAGAAGAAUUUUGAAGAGAUCAACAGGCUCAAGCUGGCUUCAGACCUGCACAUUUCUUCCUGGUGACUCUGGAUGCCCAGCGUUGUGAUGGAAGGAGACUGUGUCCCAUGCUGUAAAGGAAAUCAAUGGUGCCUACCAAGCUGAUCUGGGUAAACAACUCUAAAAGACAUCCAGUUCUAGAGGCUGGCCUAAUCCUGAGGAUGUGAGCAGGACACUAAAACCUUAAGGUUUUAAUGCCACCUAUAAUAAUCUACCUGCAGUGGACCUACAGUCCUACAGACCUACAGUGGAAGUCAAAAAGACCAGUAGAGGACAAAUUAUGCAUCAAGAGGAAUGAAAAAUAUUUUCCAGCUCCAGUGGAAGCCCUGAGGCAUGGAAUUAUUAUAAGUGUAAUGCAAAUCAACAGUGAUCUAAUUUCUUUUCUCACACAACUGGGGAUACCGACAUAUCAGAUGCCAAGGGACUCAUAACAUAAGCCUAAUUUUCUAUCCUCUCCUAUUCUAUUCUGUUGUACAAUUAUGUCCAUAAGCUUCUCAGGCUCCAUCCUACAAGACUGAAGGCUACUGCUUCCAGAGCUUGGAAGAGCAUUCAAGCCCCUCAUUCGUCAGAUAGCUGAAAGCCUUUAGAUUUCCAGUCCAAAUGCAUUCAGGAUUACUCACUGUACAGCCAUUUGAUCAUGUGAUGAAGUCAAUAUCCCUCUCUGACAUUUACUUCUCAAAUAUAUUUAUAUAGUGUCACCACACCCCCAUUCAGUCCUUGCUGGGCUAUUCUAAACAAGACCAGAUCUUCUAAUUCUCCUACAAAGAUGUGCAUUUUGUUCACCCAGUCACCCUGGGAAUGUUUCUUUGCUCUUGUUACAAUUAAAGUAACAUCUUCUAACUUGUUCA